UACGUAGGGAGCAAGCGUUGUCCGGAAUCAUUGGGCGUAAAGCGCGCGUAGGUGGCCCCAUAAGUCCGCUGUGAAAGUCAAAGGCUCAACCUUUGAAAGCCGGUGGAUACUGUGGGACUAGAGUACGGAAGAGGCGAGUGGAAUUCCUGGUGUAGCGGUGGAAUGCGCAGAUAUCAGGAGGAACACCAAUAGCGAAGGCAGGUCUCUGGGCAUUAACUGACGCUGAGGAGCGAAAGCAUGGGGAGCGAACAGG
rnacentral:rRNA from 1 species